rnacentral:lncRNA from 1 species
AGAGCCAGAUCAAACAUCAAUAGGUUAAUGCCAUUGAACCCAUAAAUCAAAGCAAAAUCAAGAAGUAAAAAAAAAAUGAUAACUAAAAAUGACUAAAACCCCUAAUUUAAACUAGUCAAACAAAAAAAAUUCUAAAUAAUAGAUCAGAUCGCUAUGAGAUCCUAAAAACCCUAACAUAAAUCCAAGAAAAAAAAAUUCAACCUAAGAACAAUCAUCAGAUCUAGAUCGAACACCAACCCCAU